rnacentral:rRNA from 1 species
GACCUGCGGAGGGAUCAUUACCGAGUUUACAACUCCCAAACCCCUGUGAACAUACCACUUGUUGCCUCGGCGGAUCAGCCCGCUCCCGGUAAAACGGGACGGCCCGCCAGAGGACCCCUAAACUCUGUUUCUAUAUGUAACUUCUGAGUAAAACCAUAAAUAAAUCAAAACUUUCAACAACGGAUCUCUUGGUUCUGGCAUCGAUGAAGAACGCAGCAAAAUGCGAUAAGUAAUGUGAAUUGCAGAAUUCAGUGAAUCAUCGAAUCUUUGAACGCACAUUGCGCCCGCCAGUAUUCUGGCGGGCAUGCCUGUUCGAGCGUCAUUUCAACCCUCAAGCACAGCUUGGUGUUGGGACUCGCGUUAAUUCGCGUUCCCCAAAUUGAUUGGCGGUCACGUCGAGCUUCCAUAGCGUAGUAGUAAAACCCUCGUUACUGGUAAUCGUCGCGGCCACGCCGUUAAACCCCAACUUCUGAAUGUUGACCUCGGAUCAGGUAGGAAUACCCGCUGAACUUAAGCAUAUCAA